rnacentral:miRNA from 1 species
AUCUAGUGAUCGUAUUAGAGUCCAGAUUCUGAUUCAGUAGGACUUGGGUGGGGCUUGAGAAUCUGCAUUCCUAACAAGUUCCCAGGUGAUGCCAAU